GGGAAGGUGGCUCAGUGGUAGAGCGCUUGCCUUGUAUGCCUGAGGCCCUGGGUU
rnacentral:tRNA from 1 species